UACUUUAAAUCUAGCUUAUAACAAA
rnacentral:rRNA from 1 species